UGGUCAAGUUAUUAAGGGUGCAGGGCGGAUGCCUUGGCACUAGGAGCCGAUGAAGGACGUGAUAAGCUGCGAUAAGCUUCGGGGAGUUGCACGUAAACUUUGAUCCGAAGAUUUCCGAAUGAGGAAACUCACUUAGAGUAAUGUCUAAGUAUCAUUAAGUGAAUACAUAGCUUAAUGAGGGGAACUCAGGGAACUGAAACAUCUAAGUACCUGAAGGAAGAGAAAGAAAUUCGAUUCCGUAAGUAGCGGCGAGCGAACGCGGAUUAGCCCAAACCAAUAAAGUUUUCUUUAUUGGGGUUGCGGACAUAUCAUAACGAAGAGGUAUCGUAAUUGAAGAGGUUUGGAAAGACCCACCACAGAAGGUAAUAGUCCUGUAUGUUAAACGAGAAGACUUCAGAUAUGAUCCAGAGUACCACGGGACACGUGAAACCCUGUGGGAAGCAGGAGGGACCACCCUCCAAGGCUAAAUACUACCUAGUGACCGAUAGCGUAUAGUACCGUGAGGGAAAGGUGAAAAGAACCCCGGGAGGGGAGUGAAAUAGAACCUGAAACCCUGCACUUACAAGCUGUGGAAGCACAUUUCUUGUGUGACCGCGUACUUUUUGUAGAACGGGCCAACGAGUUACGUUAAGUAGCAAGGUUAAGCACUUAAGGUGUGGAGCCGUAGCGAAAGCGAGUUUUAACUGAGCGUUCAGUUACUUGACGUAGACCCGAAACCGGGCGACCUACCCAUGAGCAGGAUGAAGCGAAAGUAAAAUUUCGUGGAGGUCCGAACCCACGAGCGUUGAAAAGCUCGGGGAUGACUUGUGGGUAGCGGUGAAAUUCCAAUCGAGCCCGGAGAUAGCUGGUUCUCCCCGAAAUAGCUUUAGGGCUAGCCUCAAGGUGAGAGAUACGGAGGUAGAGCACUGAAUGUCCUAGGGGGUAUUGCACCUACCGAAGACUAUCAAACUCCGAAUGCCGUCAUCUUAUACUUGGGAGUCAGACUGUGGGUGAUAAGAUUCAUAGUCGAAAGGGCAACAGCCCAGAUCGUCAGCUAAGGUCCCUAAAUGUAAGUUAAGUGGUAAAGGAUGUGGGAUUGCACAGACAACCAGGAUGUUGGCUUAGAAGCAGCCACUCAUUCAAAGAGUGCGUAAUAGCUCACUGGUCGAGUGAUCCUGCGCCGAAGAUUUCCGGGGCUAAAACUUACUACCGAAGCUACGGCAUCAGUAAUGAUGGGUAGGGGAGCUUCCCAUACGGGUUGAAGCAUGACCGUAAGGACAUGUGGACAGUAUGGGAGUGAGAAUGUUGGCAUGAGUAGCGAGAUGUGGGUGAGAAUCCCACAGGCCGUAAACCCAAGGUUUCCAGGGGAAGGUUCGUCCGCCCUGGGUUAGUCGGGACCUAAGCUGAGGCCGAAAGGCGUAGGUGAUGGACAACAGGUUGAUAUUCCUGUACUACCGAUAACCGUUUGAGAGAAGGGAUGACACAGUAGGAUAAGCUAAGCACACUGUUGGUUAUGUGUGCCCAAGCAUUGAGGCAGUCAAAGUAGGCAAAUCCGCUUUGAUAAUGCUGGGAUGUGAUGGGGAGCGAAAUUUAGUAGCGAAGUAGCUGAUUUCACACUGUCAAGAAAAGUCUCUAUCGAGGUUAAAGGUACCCGUACCGCAAACCGACACAGGUGGGUGAGGAGAGUAUCCUAAGGCCAGCGAGAGAACUGUUGUUAAGGAACUCGGCAAAAUGACCCCGUAACUUAGGGAUAAGGGGUGCCACCAUCAGGUGGCCGCAGAGAAUAGGCCCAAGCGACUGUUUACCAAAAACAUAGGUUUCUGCUAAGUCGCAAGACGAUGUAUAGGAGCUGACGCCUGCCCGGUGCUGGAAGGUUAAGGGGAUCUGUUAGAGCAAUCGAAGCAGUGAACUUAAGCCCCAGUAAACGGCGGCCGUAACUAUAACGGUCCUAAGGUAGCGAAAUUCCUUGUCGGGUAAGUUCCGACCCGCACGAAAGGCGUAACGAUUUGGGCACUGUCUCAACAACAGACUCGGUGAAAUUGUAAUUCCGGUGAAGAUGCCGGAUACCUGCGACAGGACGGAAAGACCCCAUGGAGCUUUACUGUAGCUUGACAUUGGGUCUUGGUACUACAUGUACAGGAUAGGUGGGAGGCUUUGAAACCAGGACGCCAGUUUUGGCGGAGCCAUCCUUGGGAUACCACCCUUGUAGUACUGGGACUCUAACCAUAGGCCAUGAAUCUGGUCUUGGGACACUGUCAGGUGGGCAGUUUGACUGGGGCGGUCGCCUCCCAAAAGGUAACGGAGGCGCUCAAAGGUUCUCUCAGUACGGUCGGAAAUCGUACGUAGAGUGUAAAGGCAAAAGAGAGCUUGAUUGCAAGACAUACAGGUCGAGCAAGGAUGAAAAUCGGACUUAGUGAUCCGGUGGUUCUGCGUGGAAGGGCCAUCGCUCAACGGAUAAAAGCUACCCUGGGGAUAACAGGCUUAUCUCCCCCAAGAGUCCACAUCGACGGGGAGGUUUGGCACCUCGAUGUCGGCUCAUCACAUCCUGGGGCUGUAGUAGGUCCCAAGGGUUGGGCUGUUCGCCCAUUAAAGUGGUACGCGAGCUGGGUUCAGAACGUCGUGAGACAGUUCGGUCCCUAUCCGUCGCAGGCGUAGGAAAUUUGAGAAGACCUGUCCUUAGUACGAGAGGACCGGGAUGGACGUACCUCUGGUGUACCAGUUGUUCUGCCAAGGGCAUGGCUGGGUAGCUAUGUACGGAAUGGAUAAGCGCUGAAAGCAUCUAAGCGCGAAGCCAACUUCAAGAUAAGAUUUCCCACCG
rnacentral:rRNA from 1 species